rnacentral:rRNA from 1 species
GAUGAACGCUGGCGGCGUGCCUAAUACAUGCAAGUCGAGCGAACAGAUGAGGAGCUUGCUCCUCUGACGUUAGCGGCGGACGGGUGAGUAACACGUGGAUAACCUACCUAUAAGACUGGGAUAACUUCGGGAAACCGGAGCUAAUACCGGAUAAUAUAUUGAACCGCAUGGUUCAAUAGUGAAAGACGGUUUUGCUGUCACUUAUAGAUGGAUCCGCGCCGCAUCAGCUAGUUGGUAAGGUAACGGCUUACCAAGGCAACGAUGCGUAGCCGACCUGAGAGGGUGAUCGGCCACACUGGAACUGAGAAACGGUCCAGACUCCUACGGGAGGCAGCAGUAGGGAAUCUUCCGCAAUGGGCGAAAGCCUGACGGAGCAACGCCGCGUGAGUGAUGAAGGUCUUCGGAUCGUAAAACUCUGUUAUUAGGGAAGAACAAAUGUGUAAGUAACUAUGCACGUCUUGACGGUACCUAAUCAGAAAGCCACGGCUAACUACGUG